CGGCCGCGCAGCGGGCGGUGGCCGACCGCGACGCCUACUACGUGUCGCAGUGGUUCGCCGACCAGGGGUUCGCCGUGAUCGUCGCGGACGGACGA
rnacentral:tRNA from 1 species